UUUUGUCGUCCAUUAAAUUAUUUGCUGUGAUGGCUUUAAGGCUGAUAAGAAUACUAAUGAAAAAUUUUGCUGUCUUUUGUAUCAUGGUGCUGAGGAUACUGAGGAAGUCAUUGAACAACUGGGCCUGGGGAGGAAGUGAACUCUACUGUAAAGAUGCAGAGGAAUAUCAAAGUUCCUUCAUUCUCAAGCAUAGACCAGGUUAUCAAGAUGAGCAAGACUUUCUUGAAGUUGUAGGAUGAAUGGGGAUGGCCUGACUCCAAAACUUACUUGGGCAUGAAGGUUUGUUUAGCUACCAAUGAGAUGAAAG